rnacentral:rRNA from 1 species
AUUGAACGCUGGCGGCAUGCCUUACACAUGCAAGUCGAACGGCAGCAUAGGAGCUUGCUCCUGAUGGCGAGUGGCGAACGGGUGAGUAAUAUAUCGGAACGUGCCCUAGAGUGGGGGAUAACUAGUCGAAAGACUAGCUAAUACCGCAUACGAUCUACGGAUGAAAGUGGGGGAUCGCAAGACCUCAUGCUCCUGGCGCGGCCGAUAUCUGAUUAGCUAGUUGGGGGGGUAAAAGCCUACCAAGGCAACGAUCAGUAGCUGGUCUGAGAGGACGACCAGCCACACUGGGACUGAGACACGGCCCAGACUCCUACGGGAGGCAGCAGUGGGGAAUUUUGGACAACGGGGGCAACCCUGAUCCAGCAAUGCCGCGUGAGUGAAGAAGGCCUUCGGGUUGUAAAGCUCUUUUGUCAGGGAAGAAACGGUAGUAGCGAAUAACUAUUACUAAUGACGGUACCUGAAGAAUAAGCACCGGCUAACUACGUGCCAGCCGCCGCCGUAA